rnacentral:rRNA from 1 species
GACGAACGCUGGCGGCGUGCUUAACACAUGCAAGUCGAACGGAAAGGCCCUGCUUUUGUGGGGUGCUCGAGUGGCGAACGGGUGAGUAACACGAGAGUAACCUGCCCUUGACUUUGGGAUAACUUCAGGAAACUGGGGCUAAUACCGGAUAGGAGCUCCUGCUGCAUGGGGGGGGUUGGAAAGUUUCGGCGGUUGGGGAUGGACUCGCGGCUUAUCAGCUUGUUGGUGGGGUAGUGGCUUACCAAGGCUUUGACGGGUAGCCGGCCUGAGAGGGUGACCGGCCACAUUGGGACUGCGAUACGGCCCAGACUCCUACGGGAGGCAGCAGUGGGGAAUAUUGCACAAUGGGCGGAAGCCUGAUGCAGCAACGCCGCGUGCGGGAUGACGGCCUUCGGGUUGUAAACCGCUUUCGCCUGUGACGAAGCGUGAGUGACGGUAAUGGGUAAAGAAGCACCGGCUAACUACGUG